rnacentral:rRNA from 1 species
UACAGAGGUCCCGAGCGUUGUUCGGAUUCACUGGGCGUAAAGGGUGCGUAGGUGGUGAGGUAAGUCGGAUGUGAAAUCUCCAAGCUCAACUUGGAAAUGGCAUUGGAAACUACCUUGCUGGAGGUUUGGAGGGGGACUGGAAUUCGUCGGUGUAGCUAGCGGAAAUGCGUAGAUAUCGAGAGGAACACCAGUGGCGAAGGCGAGUCCCUGGACAAAACCUGACACUGAGGCACGAAAGCUAGGGGAGCAAACAGG